AGAAAGUCAAUCAGUAGUUGCCGAUGGCCAGAGGAGUUGUGGCUCAUCUCUGAUAGCUGUUAAGGAAUCUCCCACCGAACUUCCUAAGGUGACUACAUUCCCCAGAUCAGAAUCAGCCCAUGUUUGCCAAGCAACAAGAUCGAGAUGGAAAGUGGACAGGGUCGCCGCGGGCACUGUUUGUCUGCACUGAAGCCUCUGUGUCUGCGCGGAAGUAUACAGCCGGCUCUGUAAUUGUUGAAGCAGCCUUCCUACCCUUGAUUUUAACUAAAGCCACCUGUCAACUCAAGGGAUCUUAGUUGAAUGGAAGCCUGAAGCCACAGUGCUGAAGUGGAAGAAGACAUGCAAGUUGGUGGCCAUGAAGACCCUGAAGGAAUUUGCUGGGGAGCAGCAGAGAAAGGACUUACUUGAAGGUGCUGCUGGUCAGCAUCUGUGUUGGCUUGCUGCACUGAGAAAGAUUUUGGAGAAUGUGAUUGCAUGGUACAGCACCAUCUCAAGUGGUCCACAUCAUUGUUGUAAGUAGUACAAAGCUUCUGCCAAAUUGAAAGCAAGGUUUUUUUUUCUUAUAUAUAUAUAUAUAUA